rnacentral:tRNA from 1 species
UAGGUAAAAGUUCGCUGGAUUGAACGCUUAGCUGUUGACUAAGAUCUUGUAGGAUCAAGGCCUAUUUAUCUAG